UAAGUUUUGAUAACCCUACAAGGUUGUAGGAUAACGGUUGCUGUACUUGGGAAGGAACAAUAUCAGAGGGCGACGAAUGUCCUGAGGCUGAAGUAGGUAGCUACGUAGGAUUCUCAACUGGAACACAGCGGAAGGUCGUUUUUGUCAUGGACGAGAGGUUUCGCUUGACGAUUUCCAGGCAUUCCGUGAUGUUUGGAAUGCCCACCACAUCCGACAUGAUACGACAAGAUUGCAGAGAUGCUAAACGCCAGUACAGGAGCACGCAUUGACUCUGACACAGCAUCAACACUGCGUCGUCGUUUUCGCUGCUCUGGCCCUGGCCGCUCUCAUCACCGUCCUGAUCAGCGUCAUGUACUUCCGACAGUAUGCCGAAACAAUGUGGGAGGAGUGGCCCGAGUUUUGGUGGAUUUAGGUAGUUUCUCACGAAGCAUCUGACCUGAGAUCGAAUUGAGAUGCAGAAAAUUUGGCCCCAUGCUGAAGUCAUGUCCGCUAAGAAGUUGGAUUCAGCAACCCAGUGUACUCUGCACCAGCCCAGGCACCUGUCAAGGACAAUCCCCUGUACGAAUCACAGGAGGUGCUGGAUAAGUGAGCAGAUAGCCAGUGUAGACAACCGGCUACGAUUAAAACAUCAUCGGUAACCAGGCGCUGCCUCUCGUAAAUAUUUCCUGUUCUCCUUUUAGCGAGCCUCGGCACCAAUCCAUUUGCGACAAUCGCCCUACAAGCUGCUGACCUCUUCUGCUAAGUGUGUUGCACAAACUCUCUCCAUGUUGUGCCUUUCCUCUCACCGAUGCACACUGCAGGAACCGCGCCAUUGAGCACCGUUUCAUGAGAGCAAGUAAGCUACAGCUGAUUUUUUAUUAUAGGGCCUAAUCCAGGGGAUUCCGAGGCGGAUCCAGAGGGGUUCCGGGGAACCCCCUAAAUUUGGCAAUGUACUACUGGAAGCCACAUGCAUGUACAUGUCCAUGUAUCAGUUAUCUAAUUUUGGCUAAACUGGAACCCCUGUAGAGAUCUCUGCAUCCGUUGAACCGGUUAUGCAUGUUGUUUAAGUGACGGAAGCUCGAGGCAAUCAGAUGCUGGUUCCGUGAGGAUGCUUGCCAGUUUUUGAAAUGCGGUGCAUGUAUCCGCGUGUCGUCUUUCCUUUUGAAUUUGUUCCGUGUGUGUCUACACAGUUUUCUAAUUGUCUGCAAACUCCAACACAGCCAUUUACAUAUUUAGAAAACUUUAACUUCUCAACUCCAAACCGUCCGAAAACGGUCUCUUCACUACGAUUCAAAUUCAAAUGUACAUUACACCUACACACAUGCUUAUAUCCAACGUCUAUUGUUCUUACGGCAUGUAAAUACUCAAUGGAUAUGGAAUUUACUCAGCACUC